rnacentral:rRNA from 1 species
UAAAGAUGGACUCGCGUCUGAUUAGCUAGUUGUGGGGUAAAGGCCUACCAAGGCGACGAUCAGUAGCCGAACUGAGAGGUUGAUCGGCCACAUUGGGACUGAGACACGGCCCAGACUCCUACGGGAGGCAGCAGUGGGGGAUAUUGCGCAAUGGGGGGAACCCUGACGCAGCAACGCCGCGUGAAGGAAGAAGGUUUUCGGAUCGUAAACUUCUUUAAGUGUGGAAGAUAAUGACGGUACACACAGAAUAAGCCACGGCUAACUAC